rnacentral:rRNA from 1 species
GACGUAGGGCGCGAGCGUUGUCCGGAUUUAUUGGGCGUAAAGAGCUCGUAGGCGGCUUGUUGCGUCGGCUGUGAAAACCCAUGGCUCAACCGUGGGCUUGCAGCCGAUACGGGCAGGCUAGAGUUCGGUAGGGGAGACUGGAAUUCCUGGUGUAGCGGUGAAAUGCGCAGAUAUCAGGAGGAACACCGGCGGCGAAGGCGGGUCUCUGGGCCGAUACUGACGCUGAGGAGCGAAAGCGUGGGGAGCGAACAGG